CGCCGGAAGUAUUGCGAGUCGGUUCCCUCCUCAGCGCACCCGGGGCCCCUGGCGUUUCGUCGCCGGUGUCCUUGUCCCGAGAGGAGUCUGGUCCUAUCCUCGAAACUGGCAUUUAGGACACAAGCGACGUCGGGAUGGGGCGGCCCAGGGGCUCCCGGGGUCCUGUUCCGUACAGCAACAUGGCUGCGCCCAUGGACUAAGGAAGCGAGGGUUUCCUUUGGACCAGGUUUACAUGAGUGCUGUUUCCUUGGGGGAGAGUCUAGGAGGCAGCGUGACCUUUUCUGACGGACACUCACCUUUUAAGGACUAAGUGACUUGAACACUUGGAUGAUGUGGACUAGUGCCUCAAUCCGAGGACCGAAACAGGACCGUAGAGGGCAAUGGAAGAAAGGAGGAUCAAACUGGGAAUCCAGAUCCAUCACUCUAAAAGCACCUUUGGCCAAGUUGGCUGAAAAAUUGGAAUGACCAACUCUAAAAUUAAAAGACAUUUAAAGUAUUGCAUUUUUCCUUAGAGGUGCUAUGUAUGUUUGCAUAUCAAACAUACUCGUGUGUAUGAAGUACAUCAUUGAAAUAUAGGACAUUAAAAACCUGAAUUUAAAAGUUCUUUUUGUUUUUUGUUGUUUUAACACUGGGUGUCAAAUCCAGCAUCCCCACACUGAGCUACGCUCCAAGCCCUACUUCUGAUUCUUGAUUCUCAGGGCUUUUUUUGUUUUUUUUUUUUAAAGUAUGUCUGUGGUCCACCAUUUGCCACCUGGGUGGUUACUGGAUCAUCUUUCUUUCAUUAACAAGGUCAACUAUCAACUUCACCGUCAUCAAGAGCCUUCCUGCAGUAAAAAGAAGCUCACUUCUUCUGUCUACCUGGAUUCUCGUCAGAUGGAAGCCAUGUCUCCUUGUGGGGCUCCUGCUGUGGGCUUUGCUCCUGACUCUACUACUGUGCCAGGCAAUGAGGACGGAGGAGGUUGUGAAAUGAUCACCCAGAAAUACGUUUUCCGACCUGAGCUGUUUAAUGUCACCAAACCUCACAUAACUUCAGCUGUUCACAAAGAAUGCCAACAAAGUAACAGCCACGAGAAUUUAGUGUCUGGUAAUAAACAAGAAGUCUCCGUUUCUAUUGGGAAGAAACGUAAAAGAUGUCUGGUUUUCAAUCAAGGUGAACUGGAUGCCAUAGAGUAUCAUACAAAGAUCAGAGAGCUGAUUUUGGAUGGAUCUUCACAGUUGAUUCAAGAAGGUCUCAAAAGUGGUUUUCUGUAUCCACUUGUUGAAAAACAGGAUGGCAAUAGUGGCCGCAUUGCUUUACCACUUGAUGCUUGCAGUUUGUCAGAAUUAUGUGAGAUGGCAAAGCAGUGGCCUGCCUCGAAUGAAAUGGAGCUUCAGACGCUACGGUUGCCGGAAGAUGAUAUGUCUGUUACAGAGCUGGAUUUAUCUUCACAGGUCAUUGAAAAUGGCUCUAGCUUUUCCAAAAUGAUUACUUUAAUGGGGCAGAAAUACCUGCUACCACCAAGAAGCAGCUUUCUUUUAUCUGACAUUUCUUGUAUGCAGCCGCUUCUGAACUGCGGUAAGACAUUUGAUGUCAUUGUGAUUGAUCCACCGUGGGAGAACAAAUCGGUUAAAAGAAGUAACAGGUACAGUUGCUUAUCACCACAGCAGAUAAAGCAAAUGCCUGUUCCUAAGCUGGCUGCUGCCGACUGUCUGGUUGUUACGUGGGUGACCAACAGGCAGAAGCACCUGUGUUUUGUGAAGGAGGAACUCUAUCCUUUGUGGUCUGUGGAAGUCGUUGCAGAAUGGUACUGGGUAAAAAUCACACGUUCAGGGGAGUUUGUGUUCCCAUUGGAUUCUCCACAUAAAAAGCCUUAUGAAUGUCUUGUACUGGGGAGAGUUCGAGAGAAAGCUGCUUUAGCAUUUAGGAACACAGAUACAGAAGUGCCCCCUGUUCCAGAUCAGAAACUGAUUGUCAGUGUACCCUGCAUUCUUCACUCACAUAAGCCACCUCUGGCCGAAGUACUGAAGGACUACAUCAAGCCAGGUGGGCAGUGUUUGGAAUUGUUUGCUCGAAAUUUACAGCCAGGUUGGAUGAGUUGGGGCAACGAGGUCCUCAAGUUUCAGCACGUGGAUUACUUCAUUGCUCUGGAGUCUGGACGCUGACUGUAAAAGUUGUGCUGCCCUUUACUCUAGCUCCUUCAGACUCAUUUCUCCUUGUACCAGCCAGUGUGCUUAGACAUGUGGACUUUAUACCAAUCAGUGUGCUUAGAAAUGGACCCAGACUUUGGCUUUCCAACCAGUGAUUGUCCUUCCUGUAUUUUGAGAUGAAUUCUACUUCAGUUGCACUAAUGUCCCACACCAUUCUGGAUUCUCUACAAUUAAAGAGGUAUCCGACAUCAGACUUGACUUUCUACAGCGGAAUCUUGGAAGUCUCUGUUCCCACUGUGGUUCUGCCUUAAAACCAAAACAACAGUCACACAUGACUUGAGUCUGGCUUAGCUGUUGCCCUGGCUCUGCCCUCACUGCGGGUUUUACCUACUCUGUCCCAUCCCAGUUCUCAAACUCAUCCUCUCCAGGCUCCCAAGUCUUCCUUUUCAAGUUUCCCACUCUAGAGACCAUCUUUUGAGACAGACUCUCACUGUGCAGUUCAGGUUGGCCUUGAACUUUCCUCUUACCUUAGGUUACAGGUGCUACCACACCCGGCUCUAGACACACACCCUGAAAGGAUUUUCAGUUACGGGAACACAUUAGGUUAGGUUUUUCUACUAAUAUGAUGUUGUCUGUUCUUUGUUUGUAUGUAUGAACCAGCUCAAAACUCCACAUUCUGUUACCAGUCUGCUUCAGUUUGAUAACAAGUCACAACUAUCAUGGCAUUGAACUCUACCACCCCGCCUUUUCUGCGUAAAUAUUCUUAGAGCUAAUCCAGAUCUCCCAGUUUCUGUGACCUUUAGUAGAAUCUAUAGAUUUUUUUCCAAGAUCAGUUGAAACCCUUGGACCAGGUAAGAACAAAUGGACCUCUAGGGGUGGAGAACACAAGAGCAUUAUUCACUGUUCUUUCAGGUUAGACCUAGGCCUGAGUGUCUAGUACUAACAAUUGGGUACAGUGACGGUUCAGGCAAGUGAGUGGUGGUCUGCAGUAUGGGAAAUGCCUUUAACCAGUAUCGUUAAAGACAAUAUGGCAUUCAGAACUUUUGUUUUUAUUGAGGCAGAGUCUCAUUUAGCACAGACUGGUCUUGAACUUGCUCUGCAAUCAAGCCUGGUACUUUUAUCCAAUAAGCCAUCUCCCUGGCCUAAAAAAUAUUUUUACUAGACAAACAGACAAGUUUAUGCAAAACAGUAUACAAACACCAACGACACCUCAGCUGUAUAAUCCAAAAGUCAAAGGUCCCUGGGGUUCUAUCCGUCUUCAGCUUGGAAGGCAUAGGUUUCAGAGGUUGCUUUUGGCACGUUUUGGUCUUAUCCUCUCCUGGGGAACACUUGCAAAGUGGCUUUAUGAGACCUCCCCCACAUUUGUUUCCAUGGGUUUGCAGAACUUCCUUCUGGCCAAGCUGCACGUUGUUGAGUUGUAGUAAGUUUCUCACUUCCGUAUAGUUUUACAGAAGCCUGAAAGAUGCUUGAAGUGGCAUCUAGAACAACUAGGAUGUUCUUGGUGUCCUUAGCUGAUAAGAGACUCAUUGAUAGUGACAUUGUUUCACAAUGAAUGAGGUUUAUAAAUCUGUUCAGCUGUCCCACCACUUAAUAUACUUGGGCACAACCCAGAUAGCUCACAUGUGUUUUAAAGUUUGAUUUAGACUAGCCAUGAGCAAUAGGACUAUCCAUGGUUCACAGCUUGCUGAUCUGGUUCAGUUAUAGUGUGGAUUUCUUCUGAAUGUUAGUUAUGAGGUUAGGUAGCAGUCCAGGAAGGACUCCUCCAUCUGCCACAAUCUGAGUCUGUUCACCUGUUUCAGUAACAAUGUUCUCUCUGUGUCUCUUGAGUGCAAAGGGACCAUGUCAGUUUGGUGGCUCCCAGAAUCUUCUCUCAACAAGGCACAGCUCUUUCUAUAAGCAUCUCAGUGCAUGCUGGGAACUGAACUUGGGUCCUCUGCAAGAGCAGCACAUGCUUUUAACUGCCGAGGCCGUAUCACCAGCCAGCCCUUUGAUGGUUAUUUUGAUGGUAUACUUCAUUGGACUGAGAGUGUCUUAAGGGAGAAGUAAAUCACACAUCUGGUGUGCCUGAGAAUGUUCCCAGGAAACAUUAACCUGGGGAGGAAACUUCCCAUGCAUGUGGGUGCCUCCGUCUGAUAUGCUAGGGGCCCAGGUGAAAGAGGAAAAAGCCAGGUAGCACAACCACACUUCUGUUCUUUGGCUGUCACGAUGUAAACUGCACAGCGUUGCCAUGCCCUCCCCACCCCACCACUUCUGAAAAACUCAACAAAAUCGAGCAUUCCUCCCUUUAAAUUGUUGAUGUCAGAUGCGCUGUCAUGGCGAUGAGAAAGCUAAAAUGGUCUCCUGGUACCUUCAGGGACUUGGAGCCGACUCUCCAGGUUGUUAUUUGUGACUGUGACAGCAGCAUCCACAGACCACGUCACAGGUGCAGUUCUUCUGCAGUGGAGAAGUAGCAGCCUCGGGAAAUGCUAUUUCUCCUUUUAGAAUCUGGUCUUCGCCUGCCUUUCCCCGCACCAGUUUGCUUUGAUGUGCUUGGUAUUUUGCUUCUGGAUGAUCUUUGCACUUGCUCUUGAGUCUGUUUAUCUGCAUUUGGUGAGUUGCUGUUUUCCUGGGUCGUCACCACUGUGAGACAAGGAGAGAGAGGAGCACCCAGGGACGCCUUUGGGACAGACCAGUCAUUCUUCUCCCUCCCCAGUAGAUAAUGGGAGGCAGGACCAGUGUUCAGUGGCCUCUCAUCCCCAUGCAUGGCAGCCCAAUCUGCUGUGCCAAAGUAUGCUUUGGAUUGGGUUGAUUUUAAGCUGGAGGAUGAGAAGCAGAACAAGACAGGGCUUCCCCUGCCUUGACAUCAUCUGUUAAAAAGCAGGACACCAGUUCACAAAGAGGGUGGUCCCUUCUCUACAGGGAAAGACAGGAUUGAAGUUCAUCACCAACCUGAGGGUACUCUCUAUCCUUAUCAGCCUGGGGACACCAGAGGAACCCCCAAACAACCCUGACAUCACCUUCCUACUGUUAGCACCGGCUUCUUCACAUAUCCUGAGGUAGACAACAUGGGUCCUUUUCCUUUGUUUUAGCCUUUCUCUGGUUUAUUAUUCUCUGUUGAAGUUACUGUUCCAAGCCAGAUUGCUAAGCCACUGUGGGAAUUUCUUAUUCCCAUGCGCAUUUGAAAUACACAUGUUAAUAAGCUUCUGUUUGUUUUUCGCUUGCUAAUCUGUCUUUUAUUACAGAGGCCCCAGCCAA